GGGGAUUUAGCUCAGUGGUAGAGUGCUUGCUUAGCAAGCGCAAGGCCCUGGGUUCGGUCCCCAGCUCCA
rnacentral:tRNA from 1 species